AGUGAACGCUGGCGGUAGGCCUAACACAUGCAAGUCGAACGGCAGCACAGUAAGAGCUUGCUCUUACGGGUGGCGAGUGGCGGACGGGUGAGGAAUACAUCGGAAUCUACUUUUUCGUGGGGGAUAACGUAGGGAAACUUACGCUAAUACCGCAUACGACCUACGGGUGAAAGCAGGGGAUCUUCGGACCUUGCGCGAUUGAAUGAGCCGAUGUCGGAUUAGCUAGUUGGCGGGGUAAAGGCCCACCAAGGCGACGAUCCGUAGCUGGUCUGAGAGGAUGGUCAGCCACACUGGAGCUGAGACACGGUCCAGACUCCUACGGGAGGCAGCAGUGGGGAAUAUUGGACAAAGGGCGCAAGCAUGAUCCAGCCAUACCGCGUGGGUGAAGAAGGCCUUCGGGUUGUAAAGACCUUUUGUUGGGAAAGAAAAGCAGCAGGUUAAUACCCCGCUGUUCUGACGGUACCCAAAGAAUAAGCACCGGCUAACUUCGUG
rnacentral:rRNA from 1 species